rnacentral:lncRNA from 10 species
CCCGCGAGUCCGUCCGCUGCACAGCCAAUCAGCGGUCGGCGCGCGCGGCAUCACGGGAGUUGUAGUCCUGUAAGCGCGCGGAGCCCGUCGGGCGCCUAUGGAACUCGACCCGCAGGCCAAAGGGGCUCCGUUGCAAGGAAGAAGUGCGGGGUCCCGCCGCCUCCUAGACCGAGAUCGCGGAGCCAGCUGGUCCACCAGAAGUCUGUGUUCUGCCUGUCCCUGCAGCACGGAGGGCUGGGCUUUAUACCUGUGCCAAGGACACCAACGGCAGCAUCAGCAAGUCCGUGUUGUCUCCCAAAUAAGUGGUGUUCUCCAACAAGCUUUUAGCAGUAAUAAAGCUGACAUUUUUAUUCUCAUAUGUCCCUUGUCUCUUUUUCAAUGAUUUAGAUUUAAGCAGGAAAGCCUGGGUUCCUUUUGUGUGUGUGUGACAGGGUCUCUGUCGCUCAGGAUGGAGUGCAGUGGCGCGAUCAAAGUUCACUGCAGCCUUGACCUCAAGCAAUCCUCCCACCUCAGCCUCCAAGUAGCUGGGAUCACAGGCUUGCAUCACCAUGCCCAGCGAAUUUUUUUUUUCUAGACACGGUCUCACUAUGUCACUCAGGCUGG